GCGUGAGGGAUGACGGCCUUCGGGUUGUAAACCUCUUUUAGCAGGGAAGAAGCGAAAGUGACGGUACCUGCAGAAAAAGCGCCGGCUAACUACGUGCCAGCAGCCGCGGUAAUACGUAGGGCGCAAGCGUUAUCCGGAAUUAUUGGGCGUAAAGAGCUCGUAGGCGGUUUGUCGCGUCUGCUGUGAAAUCCCGAGGCUCAACCUCGGGCCUGCAGUGGGUACGGGCAGACUAGAGUGCGGUAGGGGAGAUUGGAAUUCCUGGUGUAGCGGUGGAAUGCGCAGAUAUCAGGAGGAACACCGAUGGCGAAGGCAGAUCUCUGGGCCGUAACUGACGCUGAGGAGCGAAAGGGUGGGGAGCAAACAGGCUUAGAUACCCUGGUAGUCCACCCCGUAAACGUUGGGAACUAGUUGUGGGGACCAUUCCACGGUUUCCGUGACGCAGCUAACGCAUUAAGUUCCCCGCCUGGGGAGUACGGCCGCAAGGCUAAAACUCAAAGGAAUUGACGGGGACCCGCACAAGCGGCGGAGCAUGCGGAUUAAUUCGAUGCAACGCGAAGAACCUUACCAAGGCUUGACAUACACCAGAACACCGUAGAAAUACGGGACUCUUUGGACACUGGUGAACAGGUGGUGCAUGGUUGUCGUCAGCUCGUGUCGUGAGAUGUUGGGUUAAGUCCCGCAACGAGCGCAACCCUCGUUCUAUGUUGCCAGCACGUAAUGGUGGGAACUCAUG
rnacentral:rRNA from 1 species